rnacentral:rRNA from 1 species
CACCAGACUCCUACGGGAGGCAGCAGUGAGGAAUAUUGGUCAAUGGGCGAGAGCCUGAACCAGCCAAGUCGCGUGAGGGAAGACGGCCCUAUGGGUUGUAAACCUCUUUUGUCAGGGAGCAACGCCGGCUACGUGUAGCCGGACUGAGAGUACCUGAAGAAAAAGCAUCGGCUAACUCCGUGCCAGCAGCCGCGGUAAUACGGAGGAUGCGAGCGUUAUCCGGAUUUAUUGGGUUUAAAGGGUGCGUAGGCGGAAUGCCAAGUCAGCGGUAAAAUCGCGGGGCUCAACCUCGCUCCGCCGUUGAAACUGGCGUUCUUGAGUGGGCGAGAAGUAUGCGGAAUGCGUGGUGUAGCGGUGAAAUGCAUAGAUAUCACGCAGAACUCCGAUUGCGAAGGCAGCAUACGGCAGCGCUACUGACGCUGAAGCUCGAAGGCGCGGGUAUCGAACAGGAUUAGAUACCCGAGUAGU